rnacentral:rRNA from 1 species
CCUACGCGUGGCAGCAGUGGGGGAUAUUGCACAAUGGGGGAAACCCUGAUGCAGCGACGCCGCGUGUAGGAAGACGGUCCUCUGGAUUGUAAACUACUGUCCCCAGGGACGAAGAUGACGGUACCUGGGGAGGAAGCUCCGGCUAACUACGUGCCAGCAGCCGCGGUACUACGUAGGGAGCGAGCGUUGUCCGGAAUUACUGGGUGUAAAGGGAGAGUAGGCGGGGAUGGAAGGUGGGUGUUAAAUCUACCGGCUCAACUGGGAGUCGCACUCAAAACUGCAGCUCUUGAGUGAAGUAGAGGCAGGCGGAAUUCCUAGUGUAGCGGUGAAAUGCGUAGAUAUUAGGAGGAACACCAGUGGCGAAGGCGGCCUGCUGGGCUUUUACUGACGCUGAGGCUCGAAAGUGUGGGGAGCAAACAGGAUUAGAUACCCUUGUAGUC